rnacentral:lncRNA from 1 species
ACGUCCCCCCAAAAUAAAGGUUUUGUCCGCAAUUUGAGCUGUCUGUACGAUAGUUAUGCUUUCGAAGCAUGGUUCAAGCUCCUUAUGAGCCCUUCAGUGGGAAAAAAGAAAAAGGGAUAAGAGGUUUGUAGAGAACCGGUGCGCUGGAUACUUUCACGCAUACUACUUCUGCCAGCUUGGAGUUGCAUUUCCCUAAAAGUAGAAUGUGAGAUGUCAUACAAUGUUCUACCCUGUUCCAUCAUCUCACUUGCUGCAUUUAUUUCAAUUCCUCGCUCCCUUGUGGUGCCAUCACUACUUAUUCUACUGCAUGCAGCUGGUCUGGCGCAUGCAAAUACCUCAUUGGCAAAAUAUUAAAAGCAUUUCCCGCUGCACGAUUUGUGGCAAUCUUUUGAUGGUCAUAUAAGCUCAAACAAGUCAGGUUUGAUUCAAUCCUCUCAUCUUCUACAGUCUCAGCCAAGCCCGAGCC